UAUAUAACAUUCCCUAGUAAUAUUCUGUUCCCAAGUAGACACCAACAAUACAGAAUCAAGAUGUUCAUGUAACACAUUUAAAUUUUGAGUAAAAACAUGUGAAACAAAAGAAUGUAAAGCAUCAGUGUUAAUCAAAAUAUGUGCAAGGUGUUUGUAGAUAAUAUACAUACCAUAAAUCACAUCUGGAUUAGCUUCAGCAUCCUACUGGGUGAACGUGUAAACUUUGCCCUAGACAGUGGGUCUGAUCUGAUUCUGAUUCCUUAGGUACUCUCUCACGUAGUAUUGGGUACUUCCAUAUAUGUGACGGAUGUUGUUGAGUCGAUAACAAGGGAGACUGAUCCUUGUCACAGUGUUUGCAAUCUUGUCGCGUCUUACUAUUGAGGCCUAAAGAUGAACCUAAGGUGUAGGUCUUGAUCUCUUAUUUUGGUAGUUCAAUGCAGUAAGUGCUGGUUAGCAAUGCAGAACUAAGGGCCAGGAGUUACCCACUGCUGAGGAA
rnacentral:lncRNA from 1 species